AGGACCUCUUGUCUCAGCUGUCAGACCCUGAGGACAGUCCAGAUGAGAGCCUGGAGGAUGCCGUUACACCCCAGACCUCACACACACACAAACAGGAUUCAAUCCGCAGACGUCAGAGAGAGAGUGUUUACAACAUUGACAACACCGUCAUCCCCAUGUCCCUGGCUGCCACUACCAAGUUAGAGAAAAUUCACUACAAAGACAUUAUAACACCCAGCUGGAGAGUGGUUGAUAACCCACCCCUGGAAGAGAGAGAGAGACAGGAAGAUGAGGAGGAAGAGGAGCUGCUGUGUGACGAGACAUUUUCCCAGAGGCAUCUGGGGUGAGAAAAGAGAGAGAAACUCCGCUGGACCUCCUGGGAUAAGAGCAGAUGCUACAGACGCAC